GACGAACGCUGGCGGCGCGCUUAACACAUGCAAGUCGAACGGAAAGGCCUGCUUUCCCUUGUGGAUUGCGGGUACUCGAGUGGCGAACGGGUGAGUAACACGUGAGUGAUCUGCCCCCAACUUGGGUAUAAGCCUGGGAAACUGGGUCUAAUUCCCGAUAGGACUGCAGGGUGGUGCCUGUGGUGGAAAACGAUUUUCUAGUGGUUGGGGAUGAGCUCGCGGCCUAUCAGCUUGUUGGUGGGGUAAUGGCCUACCAAGGCGGCGACGGGUAGCCGGCCUGAGAGGGGGGACGGCCACAUUGGGACUGAGAUACGGCCCAGACUCCUACGGGAGGCAGCAGUGGGGAAUAUUGCACAAUGGGCGGAAGCCUGAUGCAGCGACGCCGCGUGGGGGAUGACGGCCUUCGGGUUGUAAACUCCUUUCGACCGCGAGGAAGCCACCUGGUUGGAAGGGUGGUGACGGUAGUGGUAGAAGAAGCACCGGCUAACUACGU
rnacentral:rRNA from 1 species